UUUAGUAAGAACUAAGAUUCAAACCUAAUUUGAUCAGGUUAAGGAUUCUAGAAACUGAAGUACUACUUACACUCACUGCUUUUAUAAAAAUAACUGUGGAUAUGUAGUCAAGAGAAUAAUAAAAAAAAUCCUCUGCAUGAAACAAGGUACUUCUUGGCCAAGCUCUGAAGUUGUAUCAUAUGUUCUUAUUUCAGAGAAAGAAAAAAAAAAAAAAAACACUAAAUAUCUGCUCUUACUACAAUAGGUAGUAAGGAAUAAAACUAGUAUAAAACCUUACACAGAUGAGGGUCAUUAUACAUGUUGGUCUCAUAAAGUAACACCUUUUAUAUUUUUGUUUAAGAUGAACAUUGAUGUGAUGCCAUUUUCAAUUCUUUAUAACUUUUCAGGUUUCCUAAUCACUCCCAGUUCUCUGCUUUUAUAACUACUUCAUUUUUCAUCCUCAAAUAUGAUGAAAUUACACAAGCUAUAUAUAGUACAAUUCAAGACCACAUAGUGGGUCCUGAUCUUCCUAAAUACCUAAAUACCCUAAAGUAAUAGCAAAAAACCAAACAGUCCACAGUAAUCCUAGCACAAUCUUGAUGGAGCUUAAACAUCUAGUGAAAUCUCUUGGAAUUAAAUUGCCGAAAGUCAAUCAUCAUAACAAAUAUUAAAACUUUAGAAUUUUAAUAUUUCAUUCGCCAAUCAUAAUUUAUGAUGUAUGACUCACUAUGUCAGCAGAUAAAAGUCUCAGUGUUAAAAACACACACCCUUGCUUUCUUUUGUCUUUUUACCUCUGGAUCAGAUAGGUGCAACCCGGGGUGGACCAGAAAAGUAAUGCAACAGAAUCAAAGGUGUUGAGAAGCAAACAAGAACAUGUUCCACCUCUAAUUCAAUAUUAAGCUCCUGGAGAACACCCUUACAAAUCUUCUGCCAUAACUGUCUUUCUGCUCCCCUCUCCUUCGUUUUGUUACUGAGCUGGGCUUCUUAUUAUGACAAUUCUUGGCACUUUUAUACCUGUGAGAGGGGAAAUGACUCUGGAUGUAACAGUAGCCAGGGAAGCCCAGGGACCAUCAAAAGGAAGAGCAGAUGGCUGGCUCCCUUUCCGCAGCACUCUCCCCCAACAGGGCUCCUGUUGAGGAAGUAUUUAUUGGAACAUUCUGAUUUCCCUGAGCAGCUCCUCUGCCCUCACAUCUCUUUCUCUUUUAUUCCUGUAGUUUUCAAAGCUAAACUCGCAAAUGGACCGCAUGAUUCCCAGUGGAAUUCAUCUCACACCAAUUCCGUCCAUUUCCAUUUUUUGUCUUUGUUCUGCGCAAAUAAAAUACAUGAGAUUUCACCAGGCACCUAGAAUUUUAGACGUUUGUGUAUUUAAUCCUGACUCCAUCAAGGAGUCAACAUACAUAAAAACAAGGCCUGGCUUUUCUCAAUGCUCGUCCCAGACUUGGGUUCCCAGCAAUCAUUACAAGGUACAGCCCUAGUCGGAAACUCCCAGCAUUGCUCAGGGACAAAAACGGGGUUUUCCAGAGAUCUGUCCCUUGGGGUUUAAAAGCGCGUCCCCAGGGAACUUCGCUUUCAGUUCUCUAGGAAGUUUGGAGCUGCUAGAACCCAGCCACUUGCUGAACGCAGGCUGCCCAUGGCUUUAUGCUCCAGUGGUAGAAUUAGAGGGAGGCAAGAUUUUCCUCUGGCACACAUAGUUCCAAUCAAGAAGAAAGCAGGCAAAGCAAAGAAUGGGUCUUGAUCCAGUGUUCCGGUGGAGUCAUGUCUUCUGCAUGCUGUGGGCAGCCAGAUAAAGGGACAUUAAAUCAUCCUUCUCUUAUGAUAUCAGUAAGCACAUGAUGUUAUAUCUGAGAAACAAAAAAAGAGUGGCAUGAUGGAGAAACAAAAUUUCAAGAAGAGCCUGUGCCAGCACAGAAUGUGCAGAAGCUCCUGGGUAUAUCAUCAGCUUCCAUAAAGUUUGAUGCUUCUAUCAAAAUGGACUCUGAGAGACUGUCUUAAAGAGAAGAUAUCUUUGUUUAUAGAAGCCCAGACCCAGUGACUGAUCAAGGAAGAAAUCAGAAAAUGGCUUCCUCCCACAACCUGAGACAAACUUCAACCAAACUGAACUCCCCUAAGAAAAAGAAACAUCUAUCUAAAUUAAUGAAGUAAACAAGUGAUGUAGACAAGAGUCUUUCUAUCUGAAGCUCCACUUUCUACCUAAGAAAAAUAUUUCACAGGAAGAAAAGAUUUGAGAUCUGAUGGUUGGCCCAGAAAAGAGAUGACCACUAGAGAUUGCAACCUUGGUGACCUCAUCUAUGUAGUUAAGAUCUCCACCACUACCUUCGAUAGCUUCAUUGUGCCCUGGAAAUCCAAGCUGCAAUCCCUUUGUUUAGCUGCAUGUAAUUUUCAGCUAUCUCACCUUUCUUGGAGUCUCAUACAAUAUGUGUGUGCCUCCUGUGCUUAGGCAUAUAAAAUAUUCAUGUGUUCUUUUUAUCUGUCCAUGGUCAGUUUAUUGCACAGACUAAAAUUAUUGAAACUUGAGACAGAAAAUUAAAUUUAAAACUGUUUUGUAAAUCCAAUAAUACACCUUAAAAAUAUUCUAGAUUUUCAGGGUGUAUUUUCUCACUUCUAUUUUAUACAUGAAAGGACUAGAUAAUCUUUCAAUAAUGAUGGAAGCAAAUCAUUUUCUUUAUAUUUUCAUUGAAACAUACAACCUGAAAAUAUUAAUUGUGUUUUUGAAAAUUCCAUUUCCAAUUGGAGAUCUCUUUAAUUUCAAUCAAUUUAAAAUGUGUAAUAUCAUAUUAAAUACAUGGAUGGGAUACAAAUAUUUAACUAAUAAAACAAGUUUAUUAUGCUUAAAAGUAUUCUGGACACUAAUGUCUACUUCACAGUCAACUUUUCAGGGGACUCAACCUGUGACGGGGUAGACAUGAUAACAUCUCUAAAAUUGAUAAUGUGAAAAUUAUGUAAGAAUGCAUUUAAAAUCACUUUACUUUCAAGAAAAUUUCCAAAAAUGAGUUUAUUAUAAUUCAUAAAAAUGAACUUGAACUAAUAUUUACAUAAGACAUAAAUUGUUGUGCUAACAGAGACAUUACUUCAAUUAUUAACUACAAGAAUGCAUUAUAGACAGGUGUAAUUCCAGCACUCAGGCUAAGGCAGGAGGAUUGUUGCAAGUUCAAGACCAGCCUGGGCUACAAAUUGAGCUCAAGAUCACCCUGAAUGACAUAGCAAAACUCUGCUGCAAAAAAAAAUUUCAUGAAUGUGUAUUUAUUUAAAGAACAACUCUAAUAACUCAUUGAAAAAUGGGUAUACAAAGACUAUUACUGGUCAGACAUUAUGCUCAUCUAUUAUCUUCAUGAAAAAAUGUUGUGGCCAUGAGAACUCUUUUUCUGGGGGGGGGGGACAAUGAUGAAAGAAUGAAGAAAAUAAAGAUAGAAAGCUAGGGUCAAGUUGAGCCCUUCCUCCGAAUGGGAGGAAAAGACUACUCAAUCUCCACAAUGUGUUUAUUUAUACAUUUGUCAUAUUACACCACUUUGCUUAACUAGCUCACUCCUUUUACCCCAUUUUCUUGGGGCUAGAACACCUGUUUGCCUCUAGCACUUGGUGCUCUCAGGGGGCUUUUUUGGCGUUCCAUGCCUUUUGGGCUCUCCUCUGCGCUCUGUGCUUUCUGCUCCACACGUGUAAGCAAUCACUAACUCAGUAGCUACCAACAAAAAAUAUGUUUUAUACAAUGAAAAUAGCAUAUCCAUAAUUCUGCUCUAUGCCUGGCUUACAACUGUUGUCUCUGUGUUCCAAAUGGCUUGGUGUCUCUUCUGUAUUUUUCAUAUUUUAAGUAACUACUUUCACUAAUAGUUUCCUUAAGAUAAACCAAGAUGGUUUUGGUGAAUGUCCACUUUUUACUGUCAGGGCAUUCUCAAAUAGUAGUAUGUGGUACAUAUAUUGUGAGCCAUUUUCAAAUUGACAAGUGGUAGAGUCACAAAAAUAGCAAUAAAUUGCUUCAUUUUUCUUUAUCCUUUUUGAUGCAUUUUAACUAAUUUCUCACUUAUACAAAUAAUAUUCAUUUAAGAUGUCUGGUAAAAAUGUUUCACAUUAUAUCUCUAUACAGUAAAAAAAAAAACAAGAAUAAAAAAGCAAUAAAGUGCUGUGACAUGGAUGAACCUUGAAAAUAGUACGAAAAGAGAAGCCAUUCAUAAAAGAUCACAUAGUGUAUGCUUAAAUUUAUAUGAAAUUAACAGAAUAGGCCAAUCAAAAAUAAAAAUGUUAGUAGUUUUAUAGAGUGAGGCCAGAGAGAGGGAUGAAUCUUGUGGAUUUGAGUAGUAAUGAGAGAAACACUGGGAACUGUUGCUCCUAGGUCAUUUGGUGACCUUACUCAUGGUACCAGGGCUGAGAGGCUGCCACUUAAUGUGCUCAUUGGAAGAAAUGGAAAGUUAUCACUUGGAUUUGUGGGAAAUAUGUAUUGGGAGAUAGAGAAUGAAUAGUUCUACUGUGGAAUACAUAAAAUAUUACCUUAAAAUGUUUUUGUUAUUUUUAUAUCCUUUGAUUCAACAUGUAUUCAUCCUUUCAACAAUAAUAAUAAAAGAAAUGUAAAUAUAAUAAAAAGGUAAGAAUAUAUUCCCAAUGUUCAAUAAAGUUCAUAAGUAUAACAACUGAAAAA